GACGAACGCUGGCGGCGUGCUUAACACAUGCAAGUCGAACGGAAAGGCCCUGCUUUUGUGGGGUGCUCGAGUGGCGAACGGGUGAGUAACCCGUGAGUAACCUGCCCUUGACUUUGGGAUAACUUCAGGAAACUGGGGCUAAUACCCGAUCGGAGCUCCUGCUGCAUGGUGGGGGUUGGAACGUUUCGGCGGUUGGGGCUGGACUCGCGGCUUAUCAGCUUGUUGGUGGGGUAGUGGCUUACCAAGGCUUUGACGGGUAGCCGGCCUGAGAGGGUGACCGGCGACAUGGGGCCUGAGAGACGGCCCAGACUCCUACGGGAGGCAGCAGUGGGGAAUAUUGCACAAUGGGCGGAAGCCUGAUGCAGCAACGCCGGGUGCGGGAUGUCGGCCUUCGGGUUGUAAACCGCUUUCGCCUGUGACGAAGCGUGAGUGACGGUAAUGGGUAAAGAAGCACCGGCUAACUACGUG
rnacentral:rRNA from 1 species